rnacentral:lncRNA from 1 species
UGGCAUCAUAAAUAUUUUUUUUCUUCUGAAAACUGAGAGCUUGAGCACAGAAUCAUCCAGCUGCAAACAGUUAUCCCUCACACAUCGUCUCCAACCUCCACUCAACUUACCAGCCACCAAUCUGACUUCCCAUGAAUUAUCCAAGGCCUCAAUCCUCACUUUCCUAAUACCCCUUUUCAUAUGCGUUGACAAACUUGUAGGCAAAUUCUGCACAUAUAUAAACCAAUACAUAAAUUGUCACUACUUUUUAUUGAACGUAUACAGAAUGUAUUAUUAUGUAACUAACAUGCAUUACAUAGAAAUGUAUUAGUAAUUUUGGAAGGUGUUGCAGAAAUUCCUAUAUUAAUUAGAAAAAAAUUGUACGUUUGGACGUUCAUACCAGGAAUCCCUUUAGCAAAUAAGUUGGCCGCAUCGCACUUUUGAAUGAAGGAUACUUGGAUUUGGACAAAAAUUUAGUGGCUGCUUCAAUUGCUUUGUCGGCUUCGCUUGCCAACCGCAAUCCACGGACUCCUUUUCCUGGAAAAUCACAUGAAAGAAAUCAAAGUGUGUAUCCAUUGUUUGUUAGAGGAGAACAAACUGCAAAAGUUUUCCUUGCCUUUGGCUAAUUCUUGCAUUGAACCAUGUGAAUCUAGGUCCUCCUCUAACUUUAUAGGAUUCAUCCUAUUAUGUUGAACGCAAGUAGAUUGAAAUGGGGAAAAUUUGGCUUGCGCAUUUUAAUCUAUUUUUCCCACAUUAAGGUUGGCUUGUUCAAUAUGAGCGUCACUCAUUGGAUAUUCUACCUCGGAAGCACUUUUGUCCAAUAUAAUUACAUGGAAAAGGGAAUUCCCUUCGUAUCCAAACACUAAAACGUGCCCAAAACAUAUAGAGUAGUAUGUCGAGAAUUCCUGCCAGCCAUUGUGUAGCCAAACCUCGCUAUUUUUCCUUUCCAGUUCCACUUGCCAAAAUGCACCAUUUGGAGCUUUGAGGAAAACACGAUCCGCUAGGUUCUUUCCGUAUUUCCUUACAAACUUUUUGGGAAUCAUCUGUAAAAAUAAGCCCAAAAAAAUUCCAAAUUAAAGACUCAGGUACUUACUAUGGAGUACUAAAAACUCUUGCUUGCUUGCUGCCAUAACUUAAUGUAUUCUAGACUAGUUGUAAUGGAUGGCUUCGCUCACUCCUUAGCUUCUUGAUCAAAUCCAACCUAACCAAGAAGCCAAAGUUGUUCAGGGCAGGUAAGCCCCGAAGCAGUACCAUAAUAUACAGGUUUAUAACCUAUUAUUAAUUGUAUAUAUACAAGUUUGAAGAAAAAUGUGCAGGGAAUUCAUCAUACAAAUGGGGUGGUGUUCAGUCCCAAUUACUGAUCAGUUCUUAAGGGUUCCGACCAUCAAUAAAAAUCCAACUUUUCUUUCCCUUGUCCACAAAUUUUAAGUUUUUGUUUUUGUUGAUCAUAAGAUACUAAGCCAAAACAAUACAUGGGCCGAUCCCUAUUUGUUAACUAGGAAUCUAUUACUUCAUUUUUUUGGGAUCAUAAACUAAAACCCUUGAGUUUGCAAUCGAGUAAACAGAAAAAUUCAUUGGUUUUUAAACAUCAAAAAAUUCAAUGGUUUCUAAACAAAUCAAAAGCAGCUUCCCAGAUUCUUGUCGUCUCUUUCUCAAUUAUUUAAACAUGUACAAUAGCAUACAUACAUAUAUAUAAGGUUGGCAAAUACAUACCAUCUUACUAUCUGAAAC